GAUGAACGCUGGCGGCGUGCCUAAUACAUGCAAGUCGAGCGAACAGACGAGGAGCUUGCUCCUCUGACGUUAGCGGCGGACGGGUGAGUAACACGUGGAUAACCUACCUAUAAGACUGGGAUAACUUCGGGAAACCGGAGCUAAUACCGGAUAAUAUAUUGAACCGCAUGGUUCAAUAGUGAAAGACGGUUUUGCUGUCACUUAUAGAUGGAUCCGCGCCGCAUUAGCUAGUUGGUAAGGUAACGGCUUACCAAGGCGACGAUGCGUAGCCGACCUGAGAGGGUGAUCGGCCACACUGGAACUGAGACACGGUCCAGACUCCUACGGGAGGCAGCAGUAGGGAAUCUUCCGCAAAGGGCGAAAGCCUGACGGAGCAACGCCGCGUGAGUGAUGAAGGUCUUCGGAUCGUAAAUCUCUGUUAUUAGGGAAGAACAAAUGUGUAAGUAACUAUGCACGUCUUGACGGUACCUAAUCAGAAAGCCACGGCUAACUACGUG
rnacentral:rRNA from 1 species